rnacentral:rRNA from 1 species
GAUGAACGCUAGCGGCAGGCCUAACACAUGCAAGUCGAGGGGUAACAGGAAAGCUUGCUUUUGCUGACGACCGGCGCACGGGUGCGUAACGCGUAUGCAACCUACCUCAUACAGGAGAAUAGCCCUUGGAAACGAGGAUUAAUACUCCAUGGUAUCAUUCUUUCGCAUGUUAGAAUGAUUAAAGAAUUUCGGUAUGAGAUGGGCAUGCGUCCCAUUAGCUUGUUGGUGAGGUAACGGCUCACCAAGGCAACGAUGGGUAGGGGCCUGAGAGGGUGUCCCCCACACUGGUACUGAGACACGGGACCAGACUCCUACGGGGGAGCAGCAGUGAGG